AGCUGUGGAAGAACAAGCCCAGACACGUUUCUUCACGGAGCCCAAGGAAAACACUUUACCGAACUCAUAUGGGAUGGCCCUGUAAGUUGUGCAGCACUGUUGUACCAACCAAGAGUGACAUUUUAAAGCAUUACAGACUGCACCAUGGGACCUUUGGACACAGCCAUUCCUUGCAUUGCAUUCAUAUUAAUGAAGCGUUCCGAAGGUGCACUGCUGUUCCACUGGAAUCAACAUUUAUGUCACAACUGGACAGGUACACUCCAAAACUCCUGGAGCUCUUCAGUGCAAAAGGAGGAGUGACUGCAGCGCAUCAAGAACUUGUUGAUGGAACUGACACAGGACCCAAGUGCCUCUGCAGUGAAGAAGAGAGAUGUGACUGUGAGAUGCCUCAUAGAGUACGUGGGAGAGAGUGGACAGGAGCUAAUCUCUGACUACUGGAACUGCAGAGACCGCUGUUCAUGAGGACCUGGAAAUGAAGAAUAUGAGCAUCUACAUCUGUCGUGAGCCAAAUGCAGUAGGAAUCAUCAUUGAGGGAGUACCAGUCCUUACUCAUCUUGGAAACCUGGUCAAAGCAUGCUGCCUACUUCCGGGGUUGACGUAUGCACUUAAUCUUGAGUAUCCAUCCAAACUUUCCAAAACAUUUGAGGUGUUUCAAAGACUUUUUGUGGGACUUGACACACUGCGCCCAAAACCAACCCCCAAAUUCAUGACUCUCAAAAACAAGCUUCUAGCUUAGGCAGUGAGCCAUGACUGUCAGCUUGCACUUUUGAACAGCUAUUUUCUUGUGUCUGUUCAAAAUCAUUAUACAUUGUUCAUUGAGUGGAAUUCUUCAGAAUGUUGUAACGGUUUGUCCUGUUCAGGUUUUAUACAAAGCUCCAGGUCAUCGUUUCUGGUGUGUAAAUUAAGUUUUUUUAUGUUUUAUACACACUAAAUUGCCCCACUGUGAAGCUCCAGCUGGUCAGAAGGAGGGAUCUGUGAGUUGUUUAAGUUAAAAUGUUUCAAAAUAUACACACUGAAAGACACUACAGUGAAGGUGUUCUGCUUGUGAAUUGUUACAGAAGUACAGAUAAUCUUAAUGUUAAAUUGUUUUAGCAAGAAACUGUACUGUGAAUGUUCUAAGUAAAACUUGAGAUGAUGAGGUCAUGCAUUCUUUUAUGCACUAAAUACUGAUGUUCUUGACUGUUAAUACUGUCCAGCUUAUUGACAGGUUUGGAUAUGGCUUGUGAAAAUGUUUUAAUAUGUAUACGGUUAAAAAAAAGAAAACUACUGUGAAGGUGUUCUAUACAGCACUUUAAAAAGUUGAGGUCAUGCAUUCUUGUAUAAUAUGGAUGUUGACUGUUCAUACUGUCCAGCUCAUUGCCACUGUUUUUAUAUGGUAAUGAUUUAAUAAAGGUUGGAAUUUGA